rnacentral:rRNA from 1 species
UUCGCAAUGCCCGAAAGGGUGAACGAGCGACGCCGCGUGCGGGAUGAAGGGUUUCGGCUUGUAAACCGCUUUCGCAAUGCCCGAAAGGGUCUGACCUAUCCCUGGAGGAAGCACGGGCUAAGUUCGUGCCAGCAGCCGCGGUAAGACGAACCGUGCGAACGUUGUUCGGACUCACUGGGCUUAAAGGGCGCGUAGGCGGGUGGCCAAGUCAGGGGUGAAAUCUUUCGGCUCAACCGGAAAAUUGCCUUUGAUACUGGCCGCCUUGAGGAAGGUAGGGGCACACGGAACUUCCGGUGGAGCGGUGAAAUGCGUUGAUAUCGGAAGGAACGCCGGUGGCGAAAGCGGCCUGCUGGACCCUUUCUGACGCUGAGGCGCGAAAGCCAGGGGAGCGAACGGGAUUAGAUACCCCGGUAGUCCUGGCCGUAAACGAUGGGCACUAAGUAGAGGGGUUUU